AAAGGUCCAUCAACAACUAAAAAAAUAUUUUAAAAAGAAAGAUUAUUAAAUAUAAAGAUAUAAAAUAUUACAAAGGAAAAAUAAAAUAAUUGCUGAACUUCAAAUAAAAGUUUGUUUAAUAUAAGAGAUGUUGAUAUUAAUUCCCUAAAAAUUCUUCUAGGAUAAAUAAUGAUUGUUACUUAAAUUCCUAGAGCUGAAAUGCUUGCUAUUCCUUUGUCACAUGACAAUAUUAUGUGUAACAUUUGGCAGAAUAUAUUAUAGAGAGAACAUGAUUUCUUAACCUGAGAUCCAUGGUGGACUUGAGUCUAUUACUCACUUCCCCAUCCAAAUUUUCAUAAAAAUGAGUAUAUACAAUAGAAAUCUUCCUAUUUGAUAUUAUCAGGAUCAGUAGUUAACAAUUGACAAUACUACAGCAUGUAAUUGUAAAAAAGAUCUAAAGAUAUGUAUCUGAAAUUUUAUUUCAAAUUAAAGCAUACAUAGUCAUUUUUCUCCAUUUUAAAGGAUGACUUUGAGUAUCAGUGUCCUUGAUGAAGAUAUAUCUUUCUUACAGAUGUGUCAUAUCUACAAAUUUCUGUUUACAUUCAUUGAAAAUAAAAAUCACACUUAAAACAGGUUUAAAGUAUAUAAAUGCUGAAUUAUGUUAAAUUUUAUCAUUUUUCCAAGCGUUUUACAACUAUCUUAUUAACCUUUAAUUUCAUAGGAUUCAAUUUUUAAUAGCCC
rnacentral:lncRNA from 1 species